rnacentral:misc_RNA from 1 species
GGAAGAGCGUCUGGAGAGUGUCAAAAGUUUGAACAUGAACGUGAAAAAAGAUGAUGAUGAAUUAUUGAAGGGUGAUGCAAUUGGAGGUAUCUCAGUUUCUUUAAAUGACAACCAUCUCACUGCCGAAGUAAAUGAUCCAGAGUCACCUGAAAGUGCAACCAAUCAGCCAGUGGCAGAUAAAUCUUUGGGUUCAAAGCUUGACAGAUCAGUUGACUUGCAAGUGGACGCUAGUGCUGUUAAAUCCGAGAUCCCAG